UGGCUCAGGACGAACGCUGGCGGCGUGCCUAAUACAUGCAAGUUGAGCGCUGAAGGUUGGUACUUGUACCAACUGGAUGAGCAGCGAACGGGUGAGUAACGCGUGGGGAAUCUGCCUUUGAGCGGGGGACAACAUUUGGAAACGAAUGCUAAUACCGCAUAAAAACUUUAAACACAAGUUUUAAGUUUGAAAGAUGCAAUUGCAUCACUCAAAGAUGAUCCCGCGUUGUAUUAGCUAGUUGGUGAGGUAAAGGCUCACCAAGGCGAUGAUACAUAGCCGACCUGAGAGGGUGAUCGGCCACAUUGGGACUGAGACACGGCCCAAACUCCUACGGGAGGCAGCAGUAGGGAAUCUUCGGCAAUGGACGAAAGUCUGACCGAGCAACGCCGCGUGAGUGAAGAAGGUUUUCGGAUCGUAAAACUCUGUUGGUAGAGAAGAACGUUGGUGAGAGUGGAAAGCUCAUCAAGUGACGGUAACUACCCAGAAAGGGACGGCUAACUACGU
rnacentral:rRNA from 1 species